GAACGCCGUGUGCGGUGAAAGCCGCACGCACGGUGUGGCGUGGGGGAAAAGACGGAGAGGCAGGGAAAUUCCUGCUCCAAACUCUUACCUAUCACGAU
rnacentral:ncRNA from 1 species